rfam:Serratia sp. Leaf50 contig_6, whole genome shotgun sequence.
UAGCGAAUUGGUUGCUACAAGCCAAGGGCGGUAGCGUU